CACGUAGGGGGCAAGCGUUGUCCGGAUUUAUUGGGCGUAAAGAGCUCGUAGGCGGUUCGGUAAGUCGGGUGUGAAACCUCCAGGCUCAACCUGGAGAGGCCACCUGAUACUGCUGUGACUCGAGUCCGGUAGGGGAGCGUGGAAUUCCUGGUGUAGCGGUGAAAUGCGUAGAUAUCUGGAGGAAUACCGGUGGCGAAGGCGGUUCUCUGGGCCGAUACUGACGCUGAGGAGCGAAAGCGUGGGGAGCGAACAGG
rnacentral:rRNA from 1 species